UUAUAUCCGCCCCUGAUGAGACACCGUAAUUGUGCAGUGUAAAGACACACACCCAUUUCACUAAAUAAGUGAUUUGAAUGAUAAUUGUCUAGGGUAUAGUACCGACCGAGCGAAACGUAGUGAGCUAGGGGGGUGGAGGGAGGGGGCGUAGCCCCGCAAUUUUUUUAAAAAGAAAUAAGCAGCGAGCAUUUUAAGUGCUCAAAACAGAAAAUUACUCUUAUAGCAUGUAAAAAUAUUUCUACCUUACAAUUUUUUCACUCAGCCAUAAUGAAAUAUAUUUCCAUUUCCAUUGGCAUUACAUAGUUUCUAAUCACAAUUUUACAUAUUGUCAAGAUUAUGAUAUUAACUGCAAAAGGUUCAGGAUUUUUUUCAUGAGACUAAUUAAGUUACAAGUUACCCCAAAGGAUGCGAUUUCAAGAUUGUAGAGUUUAAAUCUGUUCUAAACUCCUAUUCUUUGUGGUUACUCCUGUAGGUUUAAAUAUAGCGAUGGGCAAUCGCUAGAUUCGUUUUACAGAAACUUUUAAUACUUUUGGACAUUUAAAAGAUUUACGGGUUCAACGAUUUGAAAUUGUCUUUUGUAGAAGUUUACUAUUAACAAACAUGCAAAUUUGUUAUCCUAGGUGAAAAUAAGGCAAAAACGAACUAAAAACGUUAAAAGUUUCUGUAAAAUGAAUCUGGAUAUUGCCAAUCCCUAUUAAAAUUUUAAAAAUAAAUUAUUUAUAUGUAAACUAUUAAGCAUGAGGAUUAAAAGUAAAGUUUGCAAAGUUGUAUUAAGAUAUAAGAUCUAAUCUUCAAGAAUAAAGAAAGCCUGUCAACUUUGUUAGGCAUUUUUAUAAUUAUUUUUUUUUUGUUAAAAAUGAAGAUAAAUAAACCCUGAACCUAUUGAAUAUAUUUAAUUCAAUUUUACGGGAAUUUUUGUCUAUAAAAGCUUUUAACACUUUUGUGGGUUUUACGGUUUCUAAGAUGUCUCUAUGAAUGUUCAUUAGGGUCAGAUUAUUAAAUCUGUUAUUGUUCAUUCUGGCUUUUUGUUAAAGCAUAUUAAAGUAUCUGCUGGAAAAAAGUUACAGUAAACUUUUAGGUUAGUCUCCAGAAAAGGGGGGGGUUAACAGAUACUUUUGACCCCCCCUUUUUUCAAAAGGGAGGGUCGUCGACCCCUUGACUCCCCGGAUCCGCGCCUGGCUGGGGCGGCUUAUGAUUUUCCAGAGGGGGUGGAUAUAAUUGUAAAGUUUAAUUUUUGUCCCACCCAUUGUAAAAAAUUCCCCCACUAGAGUUUUGUUUUGAAUUUGGUCAAAUUUUUUAAAAUCUUUUCAUAAAAUUCAAAACGAAAGGGCUAGAAGGUGCCUGUUCUCUUGAAAUGAAAGGGCUAGAAGGUGCCUGUUCUCUUGAAAUGAAAGGGCUAGAAGGUGCCUGUUCUCUUAAAAUGAAAGGGCUAGAAGGUGCCUGUUCUCUUGAAAUGAAAGGGCUAGAAGGUGCCUGUUCUCUUGAAAUGAAAGGGCUAGAAGGUGCCUGUUCUCUUGAAAUGAAAGGGCUAGAAGGUGCCUGUUCUCUCGACUUGUGCUCCUAAUUUUACCACCAACAAGCUGCCUCUGGUGUCUAGGAAAACAAUAUGCUUUAUGACAAUUAAAUACACUAAAGAACUGUUAUAAUGUCGUCUUCCUAUUUAUUUUUGUAGCACCGUAUUAGCUUUGGAACUUUUGUUAGUUGAAAACAUCAGGACAAAUAUUUGAGGACGAUAUUUAAAAGUAUUCCUUAAAUUCUCAUUCAUUUUGCGAUUCUACCUCUGAGUUUGGAUAACGUUUAGUCAGGUUUAUUAGUUAGUAUUUAGGUAACGUUUAGUCAGGUUCAUUAGUUAGUAUUUAGGUAACGUCUAGUUAGGUUCAUUAGUUUGUAUUUAGGUAACGUUUAGUCAGGUUCAUUAGUUUGUAUUUAGGUAACGUCUAGUCAGGUUCAUUAGUUUUGUAUUUAGGUAACGUAUAGUCCAAUUCACUAGUUUGUAUUUAGGUAAAGUCUAGUCAGGUUCAUUAGUUUGUAUUUAGGUAACGUCUAGUUAGGUUCAUUAGUUUGUAUUUAGGUAACGUCUAGUUAGGUUUAUUAGUUUGUAUUUAGGUAACGUAUAGUCAGGUUGAUUAGUUAGUAUUUAGGUAACGUCUAGUUAGGUUCAUUAGUUAGUAUUUAGGUAACGUCUAGUCAGGUUCAUUAGUUAGUAUUUAGGUAACGUAUAGUUAGGUUUAUUAGUUUGUUUUUAGGUAAUGCCUCGUCAGGUUCAUUAGUUAGUAUUUAGGUAACGUCUAGUCAGGUUCAUUAGUUAGUAUUUAGGUAACGUCUAGUCAGGUUCAUUAGUUUGUAUUUAGGUAACAUAUAGUUAGGUUUAUUAGUUUGUUUUUAGGUAAUGCCUCGUCAGGUUCAUUAGUUUGUAUUUAGGUAACGUCUAGUCAGGUUCAUUAGUUUGUA
rnacentral:lncRNA from 1 species